rnacentral:lncRNA from 1 species
GUUUUGCUGGACGAGCUCUGGGCACCUGUGCUCCCUCAUCGCGCUGUUAUGAGGCUCACCUGGAGGCAGCAGCUGGGUGAGGAGGGGCCAGGCUCUGGCUGCGGUGGAGCUGGGUUCCUGGGCAGGGGGGCUGCUCUGCGUUGGUCCUGGUAAUAUUGCUAACUAAGAAGCAGCUUUAGCUGGAAAUACUGCAGACAAAAACGUGGACUGGGGAUUUUAAGUGCUUCAGUAUGUGAGAGGACCACUCUGCAUUGUCAUGAGAUGCAGAGAACUACGGGUCAGAACUUGGGUUUCCUUGUCCAGCUGUGCUGGUGGCAUGCGCCCUGCAAUGUGAAGUACUGCAGUUUGGGCAGCCCAGCUGAGCUUUAUUGGAAUUAAAUGGGCUUUUAAACCUUGGUCUGCAAAACGCUGUGGUCUUCCAUAGCCCCUUACCGACCCCUUCCCCCUUCUGCUGGCAACAACUAGUAGAGGCUGAAUGUAUAGGU